rnacentral:rRNA from 1 species
UACAAAGGGGGCAAGCGUUGUUCGGAAUUACUGGGCGUAAAGGACGCGUAGGCGGCCGAUCAAGUCAGGCGUGAAAUUCCCGGGCUCAACCUGGGGGCUGCGCUUGAUACUGAUUGGCUUGAAUGCGGGAGAGGAUAGUGGAAUUCCCAGUGUAGAGGUGAAAUUCGUAGAUAUUGGGAAGAACACCAGUGGCGAAGGCGGCUAUCUGGCCCGUUAUUGACGCUGAGGCGCGAAAGCGUGGGGAGCAAACAGG